UAACAUAGAUUUCGUAGGAUAGCCCACAC
rnacentral:piRNA from 1 species